rfam:Penicillium roqueforti FM164 genomic scaffold, ProqFM164S04
AUUGAUCAAGUGACGAAAAAUUUCUCGGAUGUAAACUCACAGACCUGUUCUGAAUGCGCAAAACCGUGUAGAGAUUUCCGUUGCCUUCCUUCUGAUGAUCAA